rnacentral:rRNA from 1 species
UACGAAGGGGGCUAGCGUUGUUCGGAUUUACUGGGCGUAAAGCGCACGUAGGCGGAUUGUUAAGUCAGGGGUGAAAUCCUGGAGCUCAACUCCAGAACUGCCUUUGAUACUGGCAAUCUUGAGUCCGGAAGAGGUGAGUUGAACUCCUAGUGUAGAGGUGGAAUUCGUAGAUAUUAGGAAGAACACCAGUGGCGAAGGCGGCUCACUGGUCCGGUACUGACGCUGAGGUGCGAAAGCGUGGGGAGCAAACAGG